rnacentral:rRNA from 1 species
CCACGGGUGGCUGCAGUGGGGAAUAUUGGACAAUGGGCGAAAGCCUGAUCCAGCCAUGCCGCGUGUGUGAAGAAGGCCUUCGGGUUGUAAAGCACUUUCAGUGGGGAAGAAAGCCUUGGGGCUAAUACCCUCGAGGAAGGACAUCACCCACAGAAGAAGCACCGGCUAACUCCGUGCCAGCAGCCGCGGUAAUACGGAGGGUGCGAGCGUUAAUCGGAAUUACUGGGCGUAAAGCGCGCGUAGGCGGUCUGAUAAGCCGGUUGUGAAAGCCCCGGGCUCAACCUGGGAACGGCAUCCGGAACUGUCAGGCUAGAGUGCAGGAGAGGAAGGUAGAAUUCCCGGUGUAGCGGUGAAAUGCGUAGAGAUCGGGAGGAAUACCAGUGGCGAAGGCGGUCUUCUGGACUGACACUGACGCUGAGGUGCGAAAGCGUGGGUAGCAAACAGGAUUAGAUACCCGGGUAGUC